rnacentral:rRNA from 1 species
UACGGAGGGGGUUAGCGUUGUUCGGAAUUACUGGGCGUAAAGCGUACGUAGGCGGAUUAGUAAGUUGGGGGUGAAAUCCCGGGGCUCAACCCCGGAACUGCCUUCGAUACUGGGCAUCUAGAGUACGGGAGAGGUGUGUGGAACUCCGAGUGUAGAGGUGAAAUUCGUAGAUAUUCGGAAGAACACCAGUGGCGAAGGCGACACACUGGCCCGUUACUGACGCUGAGGCUCGAAAGCGUGGGGAGCAAACAGG